rnacentral:tRNA from 1 species
GGCCUUAAGGUGUUAUCAUGUUGAAUUGCAAAUUCAAAGAUGUAGAGAAACUCCUCUACUAAGGCUU